UAGGGCUCUCGACAAUGGAUAUCUUGGCUCUCGCAUCGAUGAAGAGCGCAGCGAAAUGCGAUACGUGGUGCGAAUUGCAGAAUCCCGUGAACCAUCGAGUUUUUGAACGCAAGUUGCGCCUGAGGCCAGCCGGCCGAGGGCACGUCCGCCUGGGCGUCAAGCAUUGAAUCGCUCC
rnacentral:rRNA from 1 species